GGGCCCGCACAAGCGGUGGAGCAUGUGGUUUAAUUCGAUGAUACGCGAGGAACCUUACCAGGGCUUAAAUGUAGUGGGACAGGUCUAGAGAUAGACCCUUCUUCGGACUCAUUACAAGGUGCUGCAUGGUUGUCGUCAGCUCGUGCCGUGAGGUGUCAGGUUAAGUCCUAUAACGAGCGCAACCCCUAUCGUUAGUUGCCAGCGAGUAAUGUCGGGAACUCUAACGAAACUGCCAGUGCAAACUGUGAGGAAGGUGGGGAUGACGUCAAAUCAUCACGGCCCUUACGUCCUGGGCUACACACGUGCUACAAUGGCCGGUACAGAGAGCAGCCACUUCGCAAGAAGGAGCGAAUCCCAUAAACCGUGGCUCAGUUCAGAUCGUAGGCUGCAACUCGCCUACGUGAAGGCGGAAUCGCUAGUAAUCGCAGGU
rnacentral:rRNA from 1 species